AUGGGAGCAUUUUUUUUCCUUCUAGUGAAUUUUACUGGUGAUGUUGCCACACGAAUCCAGAAGAGCAAAGCAGCUAUACUGAGGUGCCGGCUUAUUCUCCCAGAAACCUCUGCGCUCCCUUCAACACCCAGACAGCCCUCCACUGUACAAACAACUGCUACACAAACUGAAAUUGAACUGAAUCAAUCGACAGGUCAAAGGGGCACAAACAUUUUGGGAACAGACUGAAAAUUAAACAACUGAUUUCUUCUGAGAAAGGUAUUGUUUUUUGCCAAAUAUAUGUGCAGUUGUGUAAUAUAUAUGAUAUUUACUUGCAUUAUUAUGACUAGUGUUCAUUACUUAUUGAACACAAGUAUAGUAUUCUAUAUAGAAAAUAUAAAACUACUCAUUUUAGUGCAUCACUCAACAAGGUUUUAAAUCUUAAAUUCCAGUGCAUUUCUAGAAUGAUGGUUUUUGAUUUAUGAAUAAAACAGGGACUGUAUUUAACA
ensembl:lncRNA